AACGAACGCUGGCGGCAGGCCUAACACAUGCAAGUCGAACGCCCCGCAAGGGGAGUGGCAGACGGGUGAGUAACACGGGGGAAUCUUCCUCGUAGUACGGAACCACUCAGGGCAACCUGAGCUAAUACCGCAUACGCCCUACGGGGGAAAGAUUUAUCGGGGUUUGAUGAGCCCGCGUUGGAUUAGCUAGUUGGUGGGGUAAUGGCCUACCAAGGCGACGAUCCAUAGCUGGUCUGAGAGGAUGAUCAGCCACAUUGGGACUGAGACACGGCCCAAACUCCUACGGGAGGCAGCAGUGGGGAAUAUUGGACAAUGGGGGCAACCCUGAUCCAGCCAUGCCGCGUGAGUGAUGAAGGCCUUAGGGUUGUAAAGCCCUUUCACCGGUGAAGAUAAUGAUGGUAACCGGAGAAGAAGCCCCGGCUAACUUCGUGCCAGCCGCCGCUGUAA
rnacentral:rRNA from 1 species